rnacentral:lncRNA from 1 species
GAGAGAGCUAAAGAGUCUUACUCUGUUGCCCAGGUUGGAGUGCAGUGGCUCUAUCUUAGCUUAUUACAACCUCCACCUCCCAGGUUGAAGUGAUUCUCUUGCCUCAGCCUUCCAAGGAGCUGCGAUUACAGGCUACUCCUGCUGCCGUCUUAUCCUUGGCUCCGUGAUAGAACCCAGAGGUCCUACAACAAAGUCAGUGCUGGGUCAAGGGCAAAGGAUGCUGGGAAAGCUGUGUGUAACAAGCAGCAGAGUUGUUCUAGAAUGAGGUGAUAAUUAUUCUAUAAUUUAUUUUCACAACACAUUUCUUUUGGAGUGUGUGUGUGUGUGUGUGUGUGUGUGUGUGUGUGUGUGUGUGUUUUGGAGAAAAAGUCUCACUUCAUGGCCCAGGCAUGAGUGUAAUGACAUGAUCUAGGUGCAGGGCAACCUCUGCCUCCUGGGUUCAAGCAAUUCUCCUGCCUCAGCCUCCC